CUUGAAGGGUUAAGCUUCCCGGCAGCCAAUAACCGGUUGUUAGUAGCACUAUUUAGACUCUGUAGAUUCAACUUAGCCAGAAAAGGGUACUAAGGUCCUACUUUCCCCAGCUGAAGAAGAAGGGCAAAGAGACCUGGAAAAGACUUCUAUGGAUAGUAUCUAUGGAUACUACUCUCUGGACCCAACACCACGUGGGCCAAGCCCUCACUGGCCCGUCCCCAGGUCGUG